GAUGAACGCUGACAGAAUGCUUAACACAUGCAAGUCAUUGGCGAAGCUGCGCUUGCGCAGUCUAGCCAAGGCGGACGGGUGAGUAACGCGUAAGGAACUUGCCCUGCAGACAGGGAUAACAGACGGAAACGACUGAUAACACCUGGUAUUGUCAGGCUGGCGCAUGCCGGCCUGAUGAAAGGAGACGCUGCAGGAGAGCCUUGCGUCCUAUUAGCUAGUUGGUGGGGUAACGGCCCACCAAGGCGAUGAUAGGUGGCCGGCCUGAGAGGGUGAACGGCCACAAGGGGACUGAGAUACGGCCCUUACUCCUACGGGAGGCAGCAGUGGGGAAUAUUGGACAAUGGGGGCAACCCUGAUCCAGCAAUUCUGUGUGCACGAAGAAGGUUUUCGGAUUGUAAAGUGCUUUCAGCAGGGAAGAAGAAAGUGACGGUACCUGCAGAAGAAGCGACGGCUAAAUACGUG
rnacentral:rRNA from 1 species